rnacentral:misc_RNA from 1 species
GAUGAAGAACGUAGCGAAAUGCGAUAAGUAAUGUGAAUUGCAGAAUUCAGUGAAUCAUCGAAUCUUUGAACGCACAUUGCGCCCGCUGGUAUUCCGGCGGGCAAGCCUGUUCGAGCGUCAUUUCAACCCUCAAGCUCUCCGGAGUUUGGUGUUGGGGCGCCUGGGGCUUUUCGACCUCAGGGCCCUCAAGUCCAUCGGCGGGACCGCCAGGACACUGAGCGCAGUAGUAUUAUUUCGCUCGGUAGGAUCUUCCACGGCGGGUCGAUCUGGCCGCUAAACCCCCCAAUUCUCACCAAAGGUUGACCUCGGAUCAGGUAGGAAUACCCGCUGAACUUAAGCAUAUCAAUAAGCGGAGGA